UAGUCCACACCGUAAACGAUGAGAGCUAGUUGUCUGCAGGCAUGCCUGUAGGUGACGCAGCUAACGCAUUAAGCUCUCCGCCUGGGGAGUACGGCCGCAAGGUUAAGACUCAAAGAAAUUGACGGGGGCCCGCACAAGCGGUGGAGCGUGUGGUUUAAUUCGAAGCAACGCGCAGAACCUUACCUACGCUUGACAUGCCUGGACGACUCCGAGAGAUCGGUUUCUCCCUUCGGGGCCAGUGCACAGGUGCUGCAUGGCUGUCGUCAGCUCGUGUCGUGAGAUGUUGGGUUAAGUCCCGCAACGAGCGCAACCCUUGUCUUUAGUUGCCAUCAUUAAGUUGGGCACUUUAAAGAGACUGCCGGUGACAAACCGGAGGAAGGUAAGGAUGACGUCAAGUCAGCAUGCCCCUUAUGCUCUGGGCUACACACGUGCUACAAUGGCCGUGACAAAGAGUUGCUACUUUGUGAAAACAAGCUAAAUCUCAUAAACGCGGCCU
rnacentral:rRNA from 1 species